rnacentral:rRNA from 1 species
UACGGAGGAUGCGAGCGUUACCCGGAUUUAUUGGGUUUAAAGGGUGCGUAGGCGGGAUGCCAAGUCAGCGGUAAAAAUGCGGUGCUCAACGCCGUCGAGCCGUUGAAACUGGCGUUCUUGAGUGGGCGAGAAGUAUGCGGAAUGCGUGGUGUAGCGGUGAAAUGCAUAGAUAUCACGCAGAACUCCGAUUGCGAAGGCAGCAUACCGGCGCCCUACUGACGCUGAGGCACGAAAGCGUGGGUAUCGAACAGG